UGGUAGACCACGUUCUCAACCAUGGUUUGAGCAUGAGGGAGGCUGGCCAGAGGGUCCAACCCAACCUCAGCCGCUACACAGUUGCUGCCAUCAUAAGAACCUUCAGGGUGGAGAACAGGACUGAAAGAGAACCAUACCGUGGAGGAAGAGCACGGAUUUUCACAGAGGAGCAGGAGACAGAUGUUGUAAAUAUUGUUCGUGAGAACAAUACAAUCACGCUCCGGCAACUACAGUCUAGGAUCCUGGCUGACCAUGGCACUUUCAGGGACAUCCACACUGUCAGCCUAUCAACAUUAGAUAGAAUCCUCCGCAGCAAUCAUGUCAGGAUGAAGCAGGUCUACUUUUUUUUGUGAGGGGGGGGUUACUGUACUGUACUGUUCUGUGUGUGCUAAAAUUAAACUUUUUUUGGUUGCA